AUACGGAGGGUGCAAGCGUUAUCCGGAUUCAUUGGGUUUAAAGGGUGCGCAGGCGGAAUGAUAAGUCAGUGGUGAAAUCCUACGGCUUAACUGUAGAACUGCCAUGGAUACUGUCAUUCUUGAGUACAGUUGAAGUGGGCGGAAUGUAUCAUGUAGCGGUGAAAUGCAUAGAUAUGAUACAGAACUCCGAUAGCGAAGGCAGCUCACUAAAUUGUAACUGACGCUCAGGCACGAAAGCGUGGGGAGCAAACAGAAUUAGAAACCCUAGUAGUCC
rnacentral:rRNA from 1 species